rnacentral:rRNA from 1 species
AGAGUUUGAUCCUGGCUCAGGAUGAACGCUAGCGGCAGGCUUAACACAUGCAAGUCGAGGGGCAGCACUGGUAGCAAUACCUGGUGGCGACCGGCGGAAGGGUGCGUAACGCGUGAGCAACCUGCCCGUAUCUGGGGCAUAACCGGUGGAAACGCCGACUAAUUUCCCAUAACAACAGGAGUCGCAUGGCUCCUGCUUGAAAGCCUUGGCGGAUACGGAUGGGCUCGCGAGACAUUAGCCAGUUGGUGAGGUAACGGCCCACCAAAGCUACGAUGUCUAGGGGUUCUGAGAGGAAGGUCCCCCACAUUGGAACUGAGACACGGUCCAAACUCCUACGGGAGGCAGCAGUGAGGAAUAUUGGUCAAUGGACGAGAGUCUGAACCAGCCAAGUAGCGUGCAGGAUGACGGCCCUAUGGGUUGUAAACUGCUUUUGUACGGGAAUAAAGUGACCUACGUGUAGGUUUUUGCAUGUACCGUAAGAAUAAGGACCGGCUAAUUCCGUGCCAGCAGCCGCGGUAAUACGGAAGGUCCGGGCGUUAUCCGGAUUUAUUGGGUUUAAAGGGAGCGUAGGCCGUGCUUUAAGCGUGUUGUGAAAUGUAGGCGCCCAACGUCUGCACUGCAGCGCGAACUGGAGCACUUGAGUACGCAGGAAGUAGGCGGAAUUCGUCGUGUAGCGGUGAAAUGCUUAGAUAUGACGAAGAACUCCGAUUGGGAAGCCAGCUUACUGUAGCGCCACUGACGCUGAGGCACGAAAGCGUGGGGAUCAAACAGGAUUAGAUACCCUGGUAGUCCACGCAGUAAACGAAUGAUGACUUAACGGUCGGCGAUACACAGUCGGUGGCCAAGAGAAAGCGAUAAGUCAUCCACCUGGGGAGUACGUUCGCAAGAAUGAAACUCAAAGGAAUUGACGGGGGCCCGCACAAGCGGAGGAACAUGUGGUUUAAUUCGAUGAUACGCGAGGAACCUUACCCGGGCUCGAACGGCAAGCGAACGAGGCAGAGAUGCCGAGGCCCUUCGGGGCGCUUGUCGAGGUGCUGCAUGGUUGUCGUCAGCUCGUGUCGUGAGAUGUUGGCUCAAGUGCCAUAACGAGCGCAACCCUUGCUGCCAGUUACCAGCACGUGAUGGUGGGGACUCUGGCAGGACUGCCACCGCAAGGUGUGAGGAAGGCGGGGAUGACGUCAAAUCAGCACGGCCCUUACGUCCGGGGCGACACACGUGUUACAAUGGUGACUACAGAGGGAUGCCACCCAGCGAUGGGGAGCGGAUCUCGAAAAGUCAUCUCAGUUCGGAUUGGAGUCUGCAACUCGACUCCAUGAAGCUGGAUUCGCUAGUAAUCGCGCAUCAGCCAUGGCGCGGUGAAUACGUUCCCGGGCCUUGCACUCACCGCCCGUCA